rnacentral:rRNA from 1 species
GAUGAACGCUGGCGGCGUGCUUAACACAUGCAAGUCGAACGGAAAGGCCACAGCUUGCUGUGGUACUCGAGUGGCGAACGGGUGAGUAACACGUGGGUGAUCUGCCCUGUACUUCGGGAUAAGCUUGGGAAACUGGGUCUAAUACCGGAUAGGAAUCACAUGUGGGUGUGUGGUUGGAAAGCUUUUGCGGUAUGGGAUGAGCUCGCGGCCUAUCAGCUUGUUGGUGGGGUAAUGGCCUACCAAGGCGUCGACGGGUAGCCGGCCUGAGAGGGUGUACGGCGACAUUGGGACUGAGAUACGGCCCAGAAUCCUACGGGAGGCAGCAGUGGGGAAUAUUGCACAAUGGGGGCAAGCCUGAUGCAGCGACGCCGCGUGGGGGAUGACGGCCUUCGGGUUGUAAACUCCUUUCGUCAGGGACGAAGCGAAAGUGACGGUACCUGGAUAAGAAGCACCGGCUAACUACGUG